ensembl:lncRNA
UGGAUGAAGGCUGGUUCCUGUGAAGGAGUGUUGUGUAGCUAGAGAUCCUAUUGCUAGUUGGCGAAACCCAAACAUGGCAUCACUUGAUGACGUGUGCCGUGAUGCAGUUAAGAGAUAGCUUCUGUUUCUGGGCUGCCUGAGCAGACCAAGUCCUGGGGCUCCUUUCUUAGACUGGGGAUGGCAAUUAGCCCACCAUUAGGUUGGCUUCUUGAUCUUUGGCAGGUGACGCUGUUAGUGAGAUUAUUUUUGUCUCUUCAGCAAAGAAGUCUGAAGUGGAAAAAGGAACUGAACCAAUGAUUUUAUAUUCAGGAGAUGUGUUGUCAUCUAUCACUUUUCUGCAGACUUUCUUGAAGUUCUCCAGUGUUAUCAAAAACACACACACAGGCUUAUUUUAUAUUGAAUGUUAUGAGAUCUUAAUUAACAUCACAGAAAUUUUAUGUAUGCAAAUAAAUACAUUAUGUGUGUAAACAUACAGUUCUAUUAUAAUAUAUAAGAAGUUACGAUGAUAUGCACAAUUCAAGGAUUUUAAUGUGUUUUUCCAUUUAUUUUUCUUUGAUUUGUGAUAGAAAUUAAAAAGUAAAGACCUCCUAUGGAAUUCUUCUUCAUGCGACAAUAUUUUUUUCUCACCCUGUUCCCUGUUAACAUCACUGGUUUGUGAUGCUAACAAUUUUUUUUCUCAGUUUAUGAAGACAGAAGUAAGUUCUUUUCCUGCUGGAUGGCUCAAAGAUCAAAUGUUUAUUGAAUUUUUGAGAAGGAUACUUCGUUCCUCAUCAAAAUACAACUUUUUUUU